AAGUCGUAACAAGGUCUCCGUUGGUGAACCAGCGGAGGGAUCAUUACCAGAGUAUCUACUCGCCAACCCCUGUGAACUUACCACGUUGCUUCGGUGCGCCCACGCCAGGCGCGCCGAAGGCCCCAAACCUAUGAUUUUACACCGUGUCUCUCUGAGUGGCGAAAGCAAAAAUACGUCAAAACUUUCAACAACGGAUCUCUUGGCUCUGGCAUCGAUGAAGAACGCAGCGAAAUGCGAUAAGUAAUGUGAAUUGCAGAAUUCAGUGAAUCAUCGAAUCUUUGAACGCACAUUGCGCCCGCCAGUACUCUGGCGGGCAUGCCUGUCCGAGCGUCAUUACAACCCUCGUGCCCCCGCUUGCGGGCCGGCGCGGCGUUGGGGACCGGCCCCCGUCACGGAGGCCGCCCCCGAAAUGGAUCGGCGGCCACGCCCGCGGACCCCCUGCGUAGUAGCACACCUCGCACCGGGACCACGGCGCGGCCACGCCGGAAAUGACACCCAACUCUUUCAUGUUGACCUCGGAUCAGGUAGGAAUACCCGCUGAACUUAA
rnacentral:rRNA from 1 species